AACAGUCAUACAGAGUUCCUUUGUAUACUAAUAGUUCCAUUCUCCUGAUUUCAUGUUUGACUAUUUGGUUUAUUUGUGUUGCCUGUUUUUCUGUUAAAGAAGUAGUUUAUGUUUAUCCUGCGCUAUGAGAAAUGAAUAGUUUCUUACCAGUGCUACUGAGCCAAUUGAGCUGAUCUGUUAUUUAAGAAUCCACUUUUGACUGGUGGUAAUGAUUCUAAAUGUUGGAUGCCAUUUUGGCUGAUAUUUUUCAAUUUGGAAGAAUUAAGUGCCACAUGAUGCUUCCUUCACGGUUAAAACAUUGGAGUCAACUGAACAGUUAACCAAAGGCAUGAUAUCAAUUUGCACACGUGCACACAUAUGAUUCAAGGAAACAAUGGUACUGACUGCACUGAUGUGAAAUGUUUUAAACACUGGCCCUCUGGCCAGACAUUCGUAAUUUUCUAAUACACCUAUUUGCACAGCUGUUCAGCAAAAUGUGCAGCUGGUGUGGGAAUUUUCUCUUAUUUUUAGAAUAUCCAGGGUUUUUAGACCAGUCUAAAUAGAACUAGGCAACGCACUUAGUUAUUGCAUGGAUUGAAUGCCAGCAUUAGAACCAUAGGCCCCAAGGUUGUAUUUGGUUGUCCAGUGAGAGCAGUAUGUGGAAACUUCCCUUUUUGAUCAAUUACCUACGCUUUUUUUUGUUUGAAUGUCGUGGUGUCUAGGUGAGUGCAUUUGGGAUAUUUCUUUUUCCACCCACUUGUGAGUGUGUAUGUACCUUUUAAAAGUAGGCCCCACCAUUGCACUCAGCACAAACAAACAUCAUCGCACGAAAAUGUAUCUUUUUUGUUUUCCGCUUCACUGCACUCUCUCCCCGAUUUUCAUUUUUGCACAUGUUGUCUUCUCUAUACAACCAAACACAUCUUAUAGAAUAAGCAAUAUCCCUCACGAGUGGGCUUAUGUAAUUAAAUUUGUGUCGAGUCUUUUUGCUGGCAUUCAUUAUUUUGAAAUUGUAGUUCAUAUGCUUUGUUUAAGGCUCUUUAUGCUCUAUCUGACCCCUUUCAUCUUGGUAGUUUCUUCGACAUACAUUGUUUGUUUUUGAUCCCUAGUUUCCCCAAUUUUCAUUCUUGAGAUAUAUUGUUUAUGCUACUUUUUUGAAUUCCUGAUUAAACAACUUUGGCUGCUUAAUAUGUAUGUGAGCUAUAAUGCACUUAAAAUCUCUCUUCUUCUUCUCCUCUCCUUUUUUUUUUUUGACUCUCUUGAUAUUUUCAUUUGAGAAGUAAACCAUUUGUAUGCCAUAACAUUGCUUCUUUUGGAGCACCACUCAAGUUGUUGCAUAUAAUGUUCUUGGCUUUUGUGACUUUCUCCCCCCAAGGUUAUUAAAUUAUCAACUCAACUCAUGCUAAGUACACUUUGUUGGUUACUGGAAUCUUUUAUCUCAUUGGCUCAAACUUACUGUUUCAGCCUUUCACCCUUCCGCUUGUAAUUUUAACAAUUUUAAUUUCCUAAUAUCACUCGCUUUUGGGACAUAUAUUUUUUAUUACACCUGGCCAAACCACCUUAUUAUCGAUGGAUUUCCCAAGUUAGAAGAAGGUGGACGCUUUUAUUAUCACUCGUGGUGGAUUCCUCAAGAGCUCUUUGUGGUUGAACCCUUGUUUCCGAAAUUUCUUCCUUGAGAUAUAUUUUUAUGCUACUUAUUGAAUUCUUGAUUAAACAACUUUGGCUACUUAACAUGUUUGUGAGUUAUAAUGUGCUUGUCUGUUCCGUUGCCUCUCUGGACAUCUUCAUUUGAGAAAUAAACCAUUUGUUUUCCAUAAUACUGCAUCUUUUGGAGCUCCAUUGAAGUUGUCGCAUUUAACUUUCUUGGCCUUUGAGAUUUCCUUCCUCAGAGGUUAUUAAAUUAUCAACUCCAUUCAUGCCGAGUGCUGUUUGUUGGCUGCUAUAAUCUUUGUUCUUAUAUUUAUUCUUCUCUAUUCUCAUUUGGUUCAAACGUAGUCUGUUUCAGCCUUUCGCCCUUCUGUUUGUGAUUUUACCAUUUUGAUUGCCUAAUAUCACCGAGUCUUCUAUAUAUAUUCUUUAUUAUACAUGGCCAAACCACCUUAUUAUCAAUGGAUUUUCCUGAAUUAGAAGAAAGUGAACCUUUUGUUAUGACUCUCGGUGGAAUACUGGAGAGCUCUUUGUUGUUAGGGGAGCUCCAUAGGAGGCUUCUUAUUGGAAAUCUAUUUUCUCCUAAUGUUUUGUUUCUUUUGCUAUUUCUUGCUAUGUUUUGGAUCUUUUAGCACCUUGCAGAAUCUUAAAUUUUCUGUUUCGACAUGUUUAUGCCAUAUAAAUUCAUAUUUUCCUUGUUUUUUAGGCUUUGGUUUCGAUUAACGCUGGCUGAAUAGGUCUCAUGCAUCAGUUUAGUUUUAGAGCAAGGGUUCUGUCACAGUAUUUUCGCAAUGUGGCUGGUUUUGCUUCUAGAUUAAAAUAUGGCCUUGGUAUGGGCUUUAUGAGGAGGUAAUGCCCCAUCUAGGGAAGACAGAUAGAUUGUUUAACAACUGCAGUCAGCAAGAUGCUCUGAUUGUUAAAUUAACAGUAACUGCAUUCAAGUUGCUGAACCCACUCGACUAUGUUGAACUAAAAAGUAGCAGAACAGAGUCGCAGAUGACAGAACACAGGAAAAUGUGGCUGAAACUUGAUAUUGGAAAGUGCAAGUUUUCUUUUAUGUGUUUAUUUCUUAGGCAAUGAUGUUCAUAUUUUGGACUAUCCAGUUUAGAAAUUUUGUUGAAGUCGGCUUUAUAAUUUUUCAGAUCUACUUGGGAUGAGCUUUGAGUUGUCAAAUUUUUGUUUUUGUUUUCCUUAAUCUUUAGCAGUCCCACUAAUUAUUGGAUGUGUCA